UGGCUGGAUCACCUCCUUUUAGGAGACCUUUCAAGAAGAUGAACCAACCCAAAAAAAGGCUUCACAAAAAAUACAUCCCAAGGUCGGGACUAGUGGCUAGAAAUUAACUUUCAAAUUAGCUUAGGUUCAUUAAUGGGCUAUUAGCUCAGGUGGUUAGAGCGCACCCCUGAUAAGGGUGAGGUCCCUGGUUCGAGUCCAGGAUGGCCCACUUCCAAAAAAGUUGGAAGGCUCAAUCAUGAACAAAGGAAAAAGAGACAGCAUCUGUGAUGAGAAAAACAUCUCGGAAUGCUGGAGUCAAUCCAGUAAGCACCUUGAAAACUGCAUAGAUUAGUAGGUAGAAAAGAUUGUUAAAGAGAAGAAUCAUGGUGAGAAUCAGGUUUCUCACAGAACAAAGAGAAAAAA
rnacentral:tRNA from 1 species